rnacentral:misc_RNA from 1 species
AAAAGACGUGGGCUUUUAUUUGUGAGGCGCACUAUAUAUAAAAAUAUUACAUUAAAAAGAGAAAGCAUAGUUGAAGUGGAAAUAUGGAAAAAAAGACUCCAAAAACAAGAAAUUUUGCAUUUAGGCUUUGAUUCUUUUAGUUAAUAAAGAAGGAAAACCUUUAAUUGUUACUAUUUUUUAAAAAUAAUGAAAAAGUCCUAUGGCCCAGGGCUUUGAGCCUUGGGGCUUCACAAAAAUUGCGUGCCUGAGGUGUGCCUUAUUUUGUGAGCCUCGCCUUUCCAAGGCGAGGUGCCAAACCUGCGCCUUGAGCCUAGGCACGCCUAGGUGUGCGCCCAAG